rnacentral:rRNA from 1 species
AUUGAACGCUGGCGGCAGGCCUAACACAUGCAAGUCGAGCGGAGCGGCGGACGGGUGAGUAAUGCCUAGGAAUAUGCCUGGUGGUGGGGGAUAACGUCCGGAAACGGGCGCUAAUACCGCAUACUAUCAGACGAGCCUAGGUCGGAUUAGCUAGUUGGUGGGGUAAAGGCCUAACAAGGGGACCAUCCGUAACUGGUCUGAGAGGAUGAUCAGUCACACUGGAACUGAGACACGGUCCAGACUCCUACGGGAGGCGUGAGUGGGGAAUAUUGGACAAUGGGCGAAGGCCGGAUCCAGCCAUGCCGCGUGUGUGAAGAAGGUCUUCGGAUUUAAAAGCACUUUAAGUUGGGAGGCGUUACCAACAGAAUAAGCACCGGCUAACUUCGUGCCAGCAGCCGCGGUAAUUC